CACGUAGUUAGCCGUGGCUUAUUCGUCAGGUACCGUCACUUGCUUCGUCCCUGACAAAAGAAGUUUACAACCCGAAGGCCUUCUUCCUUCACGCGGCGUUGCUGGGUCAGGCUUGCGCCCAUUGCCCAAUAUUCCCCACUGCUGCCUCCCGUAGGAGUCUGGGCCGUGUCUCAGUCCCAAUGUGGCCGGCCAACCUCUCAGUCCGGCUACUGAUCGUCGCCUUGGUGGGCCGUUACCCCGCCAACUAGCUAAUCAGACGCGAGCUCAUCUCAGAGCGAUAAAUCUUUGACAGCCAGGGAGAUGCCUCCCAGCUGUAUCAUGCGGUAUUAGCGGCUGUUUCCAGCCGUUAUUCCCCACUCCAAGGCAGAUUGCUCACGCGUUACUCACCCGUCCGCCACUUUCCCCACCUUCACUUGGACGAAUCCUCGAUCCAAUGGUUCUCGUUCGACUUGCAUGUGUUAAGCACGCCGCCAGCGUUCAUCCUGAGCCAGGAUA
rnacentral:rRNA from 1 species